CCUACGGGAGGCAGCAGUAGGGAAUAUUGGGCAAUGGAGGCAACUCUGACCCAGCCAUGCCGCGUGAACGAAGAAGGCGCUCUGCGUCGUAAAGUUCUUUUAGAAGGGGCGAAAAUGCGGAAUUUAUUCUGUACUGACGGUACCUUCGGAAUAAGCACCGGCUAACUCCGUGCCAGCAGCCGCGGUAAUAUGGAGGGUGCGAGCGUUAUCCGGAAUCACUGGGUUUAAAGGGUGCGUAGGCGGGGAGAUAAGUCAGAGGUGAAAGCUCAUCGCUCAACGAUGGAAUUGCCUUUGAUACUGUUUUUCUUGAAAUAUGUUGAGGUUGGCGGAAUGAGACAUGUAGCGGUGAAAUGCAUAGAUAUGUCUUAGAACACCGAUUGCGAAGGCAGCUGACUGGACAUUAUUUGACGCUGAGGCACGAAAGCGUGGGGAUCAAACAGGAUUAGAUACCCUGGUAGUCCACGCCCUAAACGAUGUUACUGCUGUUUGUUUUCGGAUGAGUGGCGAAGCGAAAGCGAUAAGUAAACCGACCUGGGGAGUACGCCCGCGAAGGGUUGAAACGUCAAAGGAAUUGACGG
rnacentral:rRNA from 1 species